AUUGAACGCUGGCGGCAUGCCUUACACAUGCAAGUCGAACGGCAGCACGGGAGCUUGCUCCUGGUGGCGAGUGGCGAACGGGUGAGUAAUACAUCGGAACGUACCCUGAAGUGGGGGAUAACGUAGCGAAAGUUACGCUAAUACCGCAUAUUCUGUGAGCAGGAAAGAGGGGGAUCGCAAGACCUCUUGCUUUAGGAGCGGCCGAUGUCGGAUUAGCUAGUUGGUGAGGUAAAGGCUCACCAAGGCGACGAUCCGUAGCGGGUCUGAGAGGAUGAUCCGCCACACUGGGACUGAGACACGGCCCAGACUCCUACGGGAGGCAGCAGUGGGGAAUUUUGGACAAUGGGCGCAAGCCUGAUCCAGCCAUGCCGCGUGAGUGAAGAAGGCCUGUGUAAG
rnacentral:rRNA from 1 species